rnacentral:lncRNA from 1 species
CAGAAGCCAACGAGAUGUCUAAGAAGUGGAAGAGGGCAACUACAAAGGAAGGAAGUGGAAGCCGGAGCCCGGCACGGAACGCCUCUUGAUCUAAACAAAAACGACCGGAUGGAGGAGUGCUAUCCCGGUCAGAAGGGCUAGGCAGCUCCAGGUCGUACUCUGGAGGAACUCCAUACUGAACCCUUAUCAGAAGGAGUUCCUCCGGAGUCAGAGAAUAUGGAAUGGCGCCCGGUGCAAAAAUUGGGCAGAGCCCAGCCCCAGAUGUGGGUUCGUCUACAGAGCAGGGGACCUGGGGGUUUGAGACGAAGGAACUCCCGGAACUGCAGGGAGCGGAAGAGCCGGACGACAUUUUGAGUAGCUUCGAAUGUGGGCUCCAAAGAUCCCGAAGAAGAUGGACAGGAUGAAGGGCGAGGGGUCACAGGAAACUAACUCAGAGGAAUACAAAAACAAUGACAAAGAAGAAGUCCCUAAGCGGUGGG